CGUGUAGGCGGGAAGGUAAGUCGGGCGUGAAAUCCCUGGGCUCAACCCAGGAACUGCACUCGAAACUACUUUUCUUGAGUGCCGGAGAGGAAAGCGGAAUUCCUGGUGUAGAGGUGAAAUUCGUAGAUAUCAGGAGGAACACCAGUGGCGAAGGCGGCUUUCUGGACGGUAACUGACGCUGAGACGCGAAAGCGUGGGGAAGCAAAAC
rnacentral:rRNA from 1 species